rnacentral:lncRNA from 1 species
AAGACAGAAGUAGGAGUGAAGCUAAAAGCACAUCGUCUCUCAGAGGUUUUGUUAAUUACAGAAAAACAUUGGUGGAAGGAAAGCAGACUGCAAACUUCUUGGGCUGCAUCUGUCUGUCUCCACAUCCCGCACAAGCCCAGCCCCAGCCCGUACAAGUGUGUGCCUCUGCCCCAGAGCCACGGCACGCAUCCGGGUUGGGGAUGUGCUACCGAGUGCUCCUGGGCCAGCGCCGGGGCAGCCCUCAGAUGGGGACCAUCCACGUGCACUUGCUUGGAGGGAGUAGUGGGCACCUGGUGGGGUGGAGAAUGUGACAGCAGUGGCCUAAUGCUCUCUCACCUGAAAAUCACCAGGAGAAGGAAAGAUGAGAGUGGAAGAAAGACGCCUGGGGUCUUGGGAAUUGUUGGAGAGACAGAGACACUUCUCCUUUCGGACAGAGAGCACCUUCUCGAUCCCCUCUCCCGCAGGGGCAGGGGCAGACUGUCUGACAGGUACUUUACCCUGCUGCUCCUCACCGCCUGCCUGCUUUGCCUGAGCGAGCCACCUACACACAUCCUCUCUGCCAGCAGGUGCAUUAAAAAGUUUAACAGACAUUCUCUGGGCUCCUCUGCACCAAACUCUUCAGUCGUACUGCUCUCUAUUUUAGAUUAGGGAGAUACCAAAACAGGGGAAAACAAACACAAGAUCUACAAGUAUGGUAACAGGUAAGGGAACAUUCUGAUUACACGGAGGACUGUGACAGCAAAGGUGUAACCAUCAGUUCUACAGUAGCUGAGACUUUGGAAAAAAACACUUCCUUUUUGCUCUACAUAAGAAACCCCCCGAAUCUCAGGGGGUUUAUUUUUU